AUUUUAUUUUUAUAAUUUUUGUUUUUAUUUAAUUUUGUGGAUUUUAUAGUGAUUUUCGAUUUGAUUAUGUUAAAAUUUUAUUUUUUUCUUUUGUUAUUUAAUUUUAUUUAAUUUUUUUAUUGGAAUGUUUUCUUUAUUUUUUAUUGGAUUGUAAUUAUUGUGGAAUUAGUAAAUCUGUUUGUUGUGUUGUUUAUAUUUUUGUUUAAUUUCUUUUGAGGAAUUAGGCAAAAUUUUUGUGUCCGCCUGUUUAACAAAAACAUCUUUUCUUGUUAGUUUUUGAAGUAUGGCCUGCCCGCUGACUUGAGUGUUGAAGGGCCGCGGUAUUUUGACCGUGCAAAGGUAGCAUAAUCAUUAGUUCUUUAAUUGUGAUCUGGAAUGAAUGGCUUGACGAGGCACAAGCUGUCUUAAUGUUGAAUGUUUUAUUGAAUUUGGUUUUUGAGUUAAAAUUCUUAGAUGUUUUUGUGGGACGAGAAGACCCUAUAGAGUUUAACAUUUGGUUUAUUUGUUUGUUUGUUGUUUGUUUGUUUUAUUGGUGAGUGGACUUUUUGUUUUGUUGGGGUGAUGGGAGGAAUAUAAUUAACUCCUCUUGAUUUUGGUUAUAUUGAUUUAUAUUUAUUUGAUCCAUUUAUUUUGAUUAUAAGAUUAAAUUAC
rnacentral:rRNA from 1 species